GAUGAAGAACGCAGCGAAAUGCGAUACGUAAUGUGAAUUGCAGAAUUCAGUGAAUCAUCGAAUCUUUGAACGCAUAUUGCGCUCUCUGGUAUUCCGGAGAGCAUGCUUGUUUGAGUAUCAGUAAACACCUCAACUCCCUUUUCUUUUUUGAAAUUGGAGCUGGACUUGAGUGAUCCCAACGCUUUCUUCCAAGAAAGUGGCGGGUUGCUUGAAAUGCAGGUGCAGCUGAACUUUUCUCUGAGCUAUAAGCAUAUCUAUUUAGUCUGCCUAAAAAACAGAUUAUUACCUUUGCUGCAGCUAACAUAAAGGAGACUAGUUCUUGUGCUGACUGAUGCAGGAUUCACAGAGACAGCUUCGGCUGACUUUGUAAACUCGAUCUCAAAUCAAGUAAGACUACCCGCUGAACUUAAGCAUAUCAAUAACCGGAGGA
rnacentral:misc_RNA from 1 species